GAUGAAGAACGUAGCGAAAUGCGAUACUUGGUGUGAAUUGCAGAAUCCCGUGAACCAUCGAGUCUUUGAACGCAAGUUGCGCCCGAAGUCAUUAGGCCGAGGGCACGCCUGCCUGGGCGUCACACGUCGUUGCCCCCCCAUCUACUCCUUCGGGAUUGCGGGGGGCGGAUGAUGGCCUCUCGUGCGCCUCGUCGCGCGGUUGGCCUAAAUGCCAAGUCCUCGGCGACGCACGCCACGACAAUCGGUGGUUGCGAAACCUCGGUUGCCUGUCGUGUGCGGUCGUCGCGCAUCGAGGGCUCGAAAAAAUUGCCGGGCUUCGGCUCGACUUUCAACGCGACCCCAGGUCAGGCGGGGUUACCCGCUGAAUUUAAGCAUAUCAAUAAGCGGAGGA
rnacentral:misc_RNA from 1 species